rnacentral:rRNA from 7 species
CCUGGCGGCCGUAGCGCGGUGGUCCCACCUGACCCCAUGCCGAACUCAGAAGUGAAACGCCGUAGCGCC